UGUCUUUAAAUGUCAGAAAAUGUUUGUAUAUAUCAGUGAGUUUUGAUUUUCGUACUCCAAACUUACUUUUGGUUCUUUUUUUUAAAAAACCUCUUCAGUGCAUUUGACUGCAACUAUUUUUUCCUUAAAGCUCUCUUGCCUGUCUCUAUUUUCUAAUUAUUUUCCCUCCUUCCUCCUGGCCACUCUUUUUUGGUCUCAUUCGUAUGUUCUUCUCCCCUGAUCCCUGCUCCUGGACACACAUUUUAAUUAUGUGAUAAACCUGAGUUUCCUCCUUCAACAUCCAUCUUACAGCAGGGCUUAGUAUAAGAACUAUUUGCAGAGCAAUAAGAACUUAAAAAUUGACAAAAAAAAAAAAAAAAAAAAAAAAAAAAGUAGAGUCAUCUCCUUCCCUCAAUGUAGAACCAAGCAAGUACAAAAAUCCUUCCACAAAAAUCCUUGUGCUAUACAUUCUCCCUAUUUGUGUAUAUUGUUUCAUCUAUAUUCUAGUAUCUCCAUAAUGCUAACCUCCAGAUCAUAACGUUCCUCUGGGCUUUGGGUCCAAAAAAUUCAACUACCUUUUAGG
rnacentral:lncRNA from 1 species